rnacentral:rRNA from 1 species
ACGGUGAGUAACACGUAUCCACCUGCCGUCUACUCUUGGACAGCCUUCUGAAGGAAGAUUAAUACAAGAUGGCAUCAUGAGUCCGCAUGUUCACAUGAUUAAAGGUAUUCCGGUAGACGAUGGGGAUGCGUUCCAUUAGAUAGUAGGCGGGGUAACGGCCCACCUAGUCUUCGAUGGAUAGGGGUUCUGAGAGGAAGGUCCCCCACAUUGGAACUGAGACACGGUCCAA